CAGUAGCUCAGUGGUCAGAGCAGGGGACUCAUAAUCCCUUGGUCGUAGGUUCGAUCCCUACCUG
rnacentral:tRNA from 1 species